rnacentral:misc_RNA from 1 species
GAAAUAUUUCAUUAGUUAUCAGAAUAGAGAUAUUUCAUUAGUCAAGAGCACAUGCUAUCCUUGUACAGCAGUGUUUGAAACUGAAGAGUGAGGUUAGAAACCCAACCCUGACAACAAAUUUAACUUCGCUUUUUUGGCCACCCAGUCUGCACAAACAUUAGCUGACCUGGGGGCAAAAACAACAGAACAACCAGGGUGAUUUAAUAAACAGUUCCAAACUUGACUAAUGGCAUCAAGCUCCCAAGGGCAACCAGCAGGAGGAUGGUUAAAACACUGAACUAACUGAUAAGAAUCAGUUUCAACAAUAACAUUUGACAUCCUUCUAUGUUUUGCAAAUUGAAUUGCUAGGUACAACAAUAACCCAAAACUGAGGAAUGAAUGAUUUGCAAAGGCACAUCUUCACAAAGUUCCCAAAUUACCCAAAAUCUGCUAUGAUAUGUGCAUCCCCAAGUUUGCAACUCCAGAGGAGAGCAAGAUUCAAGAACAUAAAUGAAACACAACCUUAUUCGAUUGCUAUUUUUAAAAAAUAAUAAAUAAAUAAAGGGGCUGUUCUUGUUACAUUUCAGGAAUGCCAAUCAAAAUAACCUCACAAUGAAAAAUACUGCAAACUUAAAACCAAAAAUACUGCAAACUUAAAACCAAGGAUAACAAUAUCAAAUUAAUAAAUGGGUACUUGACUAAAUUCAUGUUAUGUAUAUCUAAAGUAUUGAAAUCUCUCUUUACAAUUUCCACUGAGAUAAAACAAAAAUAAAAGAAACCAAACGAAAAUUUCUAAUGCUAUAAACAAUUUAGUCAAUUAUUUGAGGGUGAUGCCAAUCAAUGGUUUUUAGCUAUAAGAAUUUCAUUAUUGGCUAACGAAAUAUAAGACAUUUAGACCUUCAUUACAGUUGAAUGAUCUUGCCAUGAGAUUUUCUUCUUAACUCUUUUCUCAGUGAUUAUGCCAUUCUUGAGCUUCUUCUCAGCUCUCAACAAUUUCCCAACACCCUCAUUUUGCAUAGACGACUUUUGUGGUGGAAUGGGAUCUUGCUCUGGCUGAAGAUUAAGGGACUUUAUAGCCAUUAAAUGUCUAUGCCUCUGCCUUAAAAAGCGAACUUCAGCCGAUAGAACGUCUCUCUUCAGCUUAGUCAUCUGCAGUUUUUUCUUCUUUGAAACAAAUUCCUUUUGCAAUUCCAAGAAAUCCUGAAGUAGGCUUUGAUGUUUCAAUUUAAAGCUAGCUUCCUCAACGAAUUGAGAUUGACCCAUGCUAUUCUUCAACAUUAGACAAUUUAUUAUUUGUAGGGUUUGGGCGGUAUGAAUAGAAAAAUUGAUCCUUCCCAAUACCCAAUAAAAGCAAAUUGAGCUUUUUUAAUAACAAAUCCUAAAUGAAACUCAAAUUCUGUAUGGAUUUCAAAAAAAUUAAAAAAAAAAAAUCAGAACAAACUAAAACGUGCAAAUUUUUUCCAUCAAAACAAAGUAGAAUCAGGAAAAGAAAACUCAAUCCCAAUUCGACUUGAAAAGGACUAAAUAGAAAGAAGAUAUCAGUGAGUCUUGUCUUCCCUUACUCUGAACCUCGCUGAACGCAAGAACCCUAAAGCAGACCCAUGAAGAAAGAGAGGAAAGAUCGAGGAAGAUGGGAUUGACAGAAGGGCAUUUAUGUUAAGAUAAUCUUUUUGGGUAUGUGUUUUGGAGAUAGGAAGAGAGCGGUGGUUGGAGGAAAAUUGAAGAUAUAUAUCCAUAUAUCCAUCUAAAUGCUAUAUUCCUUAUAUAUUUCCUCUUUGGUUUUUGUUUUUCUCUUGCUCCACAUAAAAACUGGACCAGGUCCAGCUGGGCCAUUUUAGAAAUUGGAGAGACAAAGAGCGAUAGAUAAUAUCUUAUGGAUGUGUAAUCUUUGGUUUACAGAGGGUGCAGAAAAGGCAGCAGAUAAAUGGCUACUGUUUC